rnacentral:sRNA from 2 species
CCAAUAGCGUAUAUUAAAGUUGUUGCAGUUAAAAAGCUCGUAGUUGAAUUUCGGGAUUGGCGCAUCGGUCGUGCCUCACGGGGUAUGAACUGGUGCAGUCAAUUUCUCACCUUCUGGAGAACCGCGAUGUCCUUAAUUGGAUGCCGCGGGGAACCAGGACCUUUACUUUGAAAAAAUUAGAGUGUUUAAAGCAGGCAUUUUUGCUUGAAUACAUUAGCAUGGAAUAAUAAAAUAGGACGGCAUGGUUCUAUUUUGUUGGUUUCUAGGACCACCGUAAUGAUUAAUAGGGAUAGUUGGGGGCAUUAGUAUUCAAUUGUCAGAGGUGAAAUUCUUGGAUUUAUUGAAGACUAACUACUGCGAAAGCAUUUGCCAAGGAUGUUUUCAUUAAUCAAGAACGAAAGUUAGGGGAUCGAAGACGAUCAGAUACCGUCGUAGUCUUAACCAUAAACUAUGCCGACUAGGAAUCAGACGAUGUUAAUUUUUUAAUGACUCGUUUGGCACCUUACG